rnacentral:rRNA from 1 species
UACGUAGGGUGCAAGCGUUGUCCGGAAUUAUUGGGCGUAAAGAGCUUGUAGGCGGUUUGUCGCGUCUGCUGUGAAAUUUCGGGGCUCAACCCCGAACUUGCAGUGGGUACGGGCAGACUAGAGUGUGGUAGGGGAGACUGGAAUUCCUGGUGUAGCGGUGAAAUGCGCAGAUAUCAGGAGGAACACCGAUGGCGAAGGCAGGUCUCUGGGCCGAUACUGACGCUGAGAAGCGAAAGCGUGGGGAGCGAACAGG